UACGGAGGGUGCAAGCGUUGUUCGGAAUUAUUGGGCGUAAAGCGCGUGUAGGCGGCUUUGCAAGUCGGGUGUGAAAGCCCUCGGCUCAACCGAGGAAGUGCACCCGAAACUGCAGAGCUUGAGUACCGGAGAGGAUGGCGGAAUUCCCCAAGUAGAGGUGAAAUUCGUAGAUAUGGGGAGGAACACCGGUGGCGAAGGCGGCCAUCUGGACGGAUACUGACGCUGAGACGCGAAAGCGUGGGUAGCAAACAGG
rnacentral:rRNA from 1 species